GAAAACUAAACUAGAUGGAUUUUUUUGACGAUUUAAAUCUUCGAUUAUCAAAUAUUGGUUCUCUUAUUUAUUUAAAUUGAAAUUGUAUCUGCUAUUUUCCCCCUAUGUAUACUUUGAAUACUAUAUUAAUUUUCCAAAAAGGCAAAUGAUGUGAGAAUUAGUAGAGAUAAUCGUGAAAUUAAUGGGUCCUCGAAAAACAAAAACAAAAAUGUGAAAUUGACGGAUAAGGUGAUGUACGUGGAAUGAGUAGUUUGGCGGUGCCAAUAUAAAUUUGCAUCUGCAAAACCACAAUAAAAAAUGGACCAAAACCAGAAUCAAAAAGUGGGAAGUAUUGGUUUCUAUGGCAGGACACGUGGCGGAAGAUCAACGUCCCCGCCUAGUAAGCGGGCGCCUAGGAUAGACAAAGCCAAAAUAUACACAUCUACCGCAUAUUAAUGCCACGUUUUGGCACACCAUUUUUUCCCGCCAAUCGAGGCAUUGGUUUGUCCAAUGUAUAAAUGUAGUGAGUUUUGUUUUGUCUAUUGGAAAUUGUGACUGCAUUUUGAGGCCCUGCAAAUGACUUCUUUUGAGGUGCAUUUAAUGCUUCAAUUAAUGCUCCAAAAUAUACACACACAUCCAGCGGCUUAUUACAAAACUCUUAGCCUCCAAGAUUCUUCCUUUAUAUUUCUCUUCUCAUCAGCCAUUUUUCUUUGUAGCUUCUCUCUCUUUCUUUUUGUUCUCGACAGAGCUUCUUGCUUCAAUGCAUUGUAACAGUAGCAGCUUCUCUUUUUUGCUCCUCUUUCAUUUCUCUUUUUUCAUUAGCU
rnacentral:lncRNA from 1 species